AGAAUCAACGCUGGCGGCGUGCCUAACACAUGCAAGUCGAACGAGAAAGUGGAGCAAUCCAUGAGUAAAGUGGCGCACGGGUGAGUAACACGUGACUAACCUACCCUUGAGUGGGGGAUAACCUAGAGAAAUCUGGGCUAAUACCGCAUAAUACCUUCGGGUCAAAGGAGCAAUUCGCUGAAUGAGGGGGUCGCGGUCGAUUAGUUAGUUGGCAGGGUAAUGGCCUACCAAGACUGUGAUCGAUA
rnacentral:rRNA from 1 species